AAAGUCGUAACAAGGUUUCCGUAGGUGAACCUGCGGAAGGAUCAUUAACACGUAUCCAACGUUAAAACCCCCCGUGCAUAUUAAGCAGUCACUCCCCCCUUCGUUGGAACCCGCCAACUCCUGGUAAAUCAUCGCCGAACAGUUUUGAUUCAGGAACAUGUGGAGGAAGGGCCAUGAGGGCUUUGCAAUACGUGGCCUGUAUCCCGCUGCUUGUUAGUGUCUGAAAGUGUCACUAGCUCUGUACGGAUGACGCUGUAACGUUCGCUAGAGGCCGCCACGGCCGGCGAUCAGGCUUCUGGGACUAGAUCCUCCUUACUACCUUUGCAUGAAAACGGGGAUGCGCUUAAUUGUAGCUCCCACCAAAACUUGAACAACUGUUAACAAUGGAUAUCUUGGUUCUC
rnacentral:misc_RNA from 1 species